rnacentral:lncRNA from 1 species
CUAAUAUUUAUCCACAUAUAACAAACACAAAUAAUGAUUAUAUGGAUAAAACACUUAAUAGUAAUAUUGAUAAUAACUGUAACACUAGAAAUGUGGACAGUUACGUUAAUACAAAUUGUUUAUAUAUAAAUGGCUCUGAUGAUAAAAACGAUUAUUACUUUUGUAAAAGUAGAUCCAGUUCAAAUGGUACGAGUAGCUUUAUUUUUUCUACUCCAGGUAUGGAUAAAGCAAGUAGUGGUUGUGGUUGUAGUGGUACUGUCGGAUGUAGUGGUACUGUCGGAUGUAGUGGUACGAACAAAACUAAAAAAGGUAGAGAAAAUUAUAAUGUGAAAUGUAACAAUUAUAAAAACAAUAUUGAUAAAAAUAAAUUAAGUAAUACAACAUGUAAUUUAAAAAAAGGUAUAAAAAAAAGAUAUUGUAAGAAGUAUGUAAAAAAAAGAAAUACUUUAAGUAAUAAUAAAAAAGAAGAAAAAAAAAAGAAAAAAAAAAAAAUAAUUCUUCACAAUAUAUCGAAAAAUAUAAAUAACGUUGAUAAGGAACCAUAUAUUUAUACAAUGAAUUAUAAAAUUGGGUUAAGUAAAAAUAUAAAGUUUAACAAAGAAGGGGUAAUAAGUACUCAAAAUUAUAAUUUUGAUAAUAUUAAUAGUAACAUGGAGGAUGUACAUUCUAGUGCAUAUCUCAGUACACAAGAUACUUCAAGUGGAGGAAACGAACAAUACGAACCCUAUACGAACAGAGACAAACCCGUAAACGAAUAUUUUAUGGAUGGAACUAAAAACAUAGAGUCAAAUUGGUAUAAUCAUAGAAAUAGUCAUGGCGGUAGUAGUAACAUUGACGAUGACAACGGUAACGAUGACAACGGUAACGAAGAUAAUGGUAACGAAGAUAAUGGUAACGAAUAUAAUGGUAACGAAUAUAAUGGUAACGAAGAUAAUGGUAAAGAAUAUAAUGGUAACGAAUAUAAUGGCAGUAAUACAAAACGUAUAAGCAUCCCAAAUGAGUAUAUAUCUAUAAGAAACAAACACAGGAUAAACAUUGAAAACAAAAAAGACGAAGAAGAAGAACAGGACGAAGAAGAAAAACAGGACGAAGAAGACGAGUGUACUAAUUUAAAUAAGAAAAAAAAAAAUAUAUUAUAUCGUUCAUAUCGUUCAUAUGGUAAUAUAAUAAGAAAUAAAAAUGAGUUUUCUUUUUUGAAUGGAAAAAAAAAAAAUAUAUCACCAAAUAUAUCACCAAAUAUAUUAUAUGAAAAUAAAAAUAACAUAUACAUAUAUGAUAAUGAAUACAAAAAGAAAUAUUCUUUUAAUAAAUUUGAGUAUAUGUUAAACGAUGGUAAAACUGAUAUUUCUAAUUCUUCAAUGAAUUAUUAUAGGAAAGUUGAUGGUACAUAUAAUAAAAUUAAUGGUAAUAAGGAGAUGUUUGGUCGUAAGCUUUGUAUAAAGGGUGAUAACACACAUAUGUAUAAAAACGAGACGGAAAUAAAUAAGUAUGGUGAUAAUUUAUUUAAUAAAAAUAAUACGGACACAAAUACGGAUACAGAUACGGACACAAAUACGGAUAAAAAUACGGACACAUAUACGGAUAAUAAUACGGACAAAUA